UUUCACCAUCCCAAUGGGAGAGGACAGUUUACAUGGAACUUGUUGCCUGGGGUUACUGUGGCUCCCUGAAUGCCUGAGCAUAGUGAGAGCUGGGAAGGCUCAGAAGUUUCCAUUCUGAGAGACCUGAACCCUCUAGCCCCAAGGAGCUAAAUCUAGGAGAAGGUUUGAAGGUGCCUGAAUUGGCUCUAGACCAGAUAUCCGUGGGCACCUGGCUGCCCCACAGGCCUCACGCUCUCCUCUUCUGGCUCCCCCUGCAGCAUGUCCUUCCAAGGCUGGGCCACCUAUCCCAGCUUGCCCUCCCAGGACCGCAGGAAUGGCAGUUUUCUACAAGGCCUGGCCAAGAGCCCUUCAUUCCUGGGGAGGCUUCAGGGUUAUCGUAGGGCAAGGUCAAUGGAGACACCCUGGGGCCACUCCAAGGUCUACCCAUCUUCCAGAGACUCUCUUAAGGUAGAGGGCCCUCUGAGGGCCACUUCUGAAUUGCUGGAGUCUGGGAACUCUUCCUGCCUGUGGCACUCCCACAGUCCUAGGCUCCUAGACAGAUCACAGUCCCCAAGCCUCCUGAGAGGCAUCCACCCCACUGAAGCGAGCCCAUCAUCCUGCAGCCUCUUUGGCAAAGGCUCAAACCCACUCAUCAGACGUCGGGCUUCUCUACCCCACCUUCUGGACUGGAUGGACAGUGUGGUCGGCCGCGGGGCCCUGGCCCUCCAGGACUGGAGCAGAUCAGAACAAGACCUUCGGUCAUCAUUGUUAGAGAGUGUUCAGCAGGGGGCAGAGCUGGUGGGCCGCCUGCCGACAGCCCGUGGGACCCUGAAGAAGCAGGCCCAGGAGAUCCAAAGGAGGGAGAAGGCUGUGGAGCUCAGCCAAAUGAAGUGUGAGCUGCUUGACAUAAGGCAGAAGAUGGAAAGCUCUCUCGUUCGCCUGGAGUGGGAAAGAAGAGAGCUAAAGAGGUCCAGAAGACAGGAGCAGCAGCAGGGCAGAGAGCUCCAGGACAAAAUCCUGCAUCUGCAGGUAGAAGUGAUGAAAGUCAAGUUGUGUUUGGACAGAAUGAGCCAGCAGUCACUGUUUGUGGAGGACCCAGAGAAGGAGCCCAGAGUCAGACCUGAGAGUCAGGGGGCUGACCUCAAUACCAAGCUCCAGAUGUUGGUGACCAACCAGGACUCCAUCUUUCAGGAGAAGCUAGGACAGGAGCUGAGCUUUGAUGCCAAUCAGACUCUAGAGGGCCAGGGGGAAGUAACAGUGGAGGGCCCGAAGGCCUCUACCCCCCAGGAGUCCCAGGACAUGAUCUUUCUUCAAGAAGAGCUGGUGAUCAUUAAAGAGGUGAAUGAGCUGCUCUCCUCAGAGCUGGACCAGAGCCGCCGGAGACUGAGGACCUGUCUAAACCAGCUCUACCAGCUGCAGGCAGAGAAGAAGAUUUCCCACAGCUGGCUCCAGGCCCUGGAGAUGGAGCAAGCCCAGCUGAUGGGAGAGAACUUGGCACUGUUGUCUGUGCUCCAGGGGCAAGGGGGAGGCGCAGAGCUCGGGACAGCUUCGUGGCAGAAUAGUGAGGCCAGUGGAUAUCCUCAGUUCCAGAAGGAGUUGGUCACUCCCCAACAGGAGCCAGAGGAGGAAACAUCAUGCCCCAGGACCCAUAAGGAGGAAGUUCAGUAUUGGAAAGCACGCUGGCAGCAGGUGGCAAAUGAGUUGAAAUCCAAGGAGGAGGAACUGGAGACGGUCCAGAGACAGACAUGCAAGAUCCCCUGGGUCCAAGAGCUUCUCCUAGGGAAAGAGGAGGGUCUGGCUGGGUUGAAAGACCCUGUGGGCAGGGAAAACGAGACCACUGACCUGGAAGGGAGCCGGCUGGCAAAGAAGUAUCAACAUCUUUGUUCUGGAGAAGACUCAAGUUCACUAACAGAGAAGAUGGAAUAUCAGAGAGAUCUCCAAAGCAAGAUGAAAAUACUGGAGCAGGAAAAUGCUCAGAUGGCACUGGUGAUCCAGAGGUGGAAGCUGGACAAGAGCCCAGUGCUUCAGAUCGAGCUAGACACCUGCAAGCAGGAGCUAGAACUAGAACGAAGUUUGUGCCUGGCCCUGCAGCACCAGCUUCGGGGGCUGCAAGGUGGGAGUGCCCCCCAGAGGGCAGAGCCUCCACCAGCAUUGCCAGGUCCGGGACCGUGCCCCCCUGGAACCCUGAAGGGGAUGGAAGCAGAGCCCCGAUGGGACAUGCAGUUCCAAUCCAAAGCAGAGUCUCAUAGACCCCUCCAGGAGCUUCAAGGAUCUUCAUCAGGAAGCCCUCAGGUGCCAGAGCUGCUUCAGCCAUUUCAGAGAGACGCCCGAGGGGGCCAGGAAGCAGGAGCUCCUGGGCUGUUGUCAGAGGCAGAAAUCCUAAGACAGCAGCUGCAGAAGGAGAGAACCUUGGGGCAGGAGCUGGAGCAGCGACUUCAGAGCCUCAUCUCAGACCUGCAGGAGCUGAAACUGAGGAAACCAGAAGAACACAAGGCUUCCCAGGACUCCGGACAGCAGGGAGUAGAGACCGCCGAGAGUCAGCUCAGGGAGAGCAGACAGGAGAACCUAAGGUUGGAGCUCCUGGUGUCAUCUCUACAGCAGAAGCUGGAGGACAAGGAGCAGGCACUGAGGGAGCUCCUGACCCCAAGGACCUCUGAGCAGAGGGAGACAGAGAUGACACCCUCCUCCCUGCUUAAGAAACUACCCCUUAACUCCCAGCCAGGCUUCAGCCAGUUGGUCCCAGAAGAGCUGAAGAGGGGCCCCCGAGCUGGCUGGGAGGGGGUUCCCCAGGGCCACUGCACUCACUGUAACACCUUCCUGGAACAGCUGGACAAAGUGCUUCGAAGUUGGGAAGCAUCUUCAAAGCCAGCAGAGGAGAAGCCACAGGCACUGGGGAAACCCCAGAAAGUCUUGGGGAGUCCCAAUAAGCAUGCCCCAAAGGGGGGCCGAGCUCCCGGGAGUGACCUCAGGGACAUUGAGCGGGUUAAGCAGCAGCAUCGGCUGGUGACUGAGCAGUUGCAGGAUCUGUUUGGGGAGAGACGGGAGAGGACCGGCAAGGCUGGGCAGCCCCCCAGGGAGUGGCCAGAGGGAAGCUCUGGGGAUCAGGGGACCAAGAAGCCCCCAGUGGAGCAGGUGAGAACCAGUCCCCCUCUCCAGUCUGCCCAGCCACAUCCCAAACCCAGUCCUCUAUCCUCCUGCUGGUUCCCGGCUCCUCCUCAAAUCCUACUAGAAGAAUGGUCCAAGGCAGACGCUUGGGAGGGGUGGGAGCUCGCUCCUGGUCAUGAAGAAAAAUCACAAUUUAGUCCAGUUUGA
ensembl:lncRNA